UCUAGAGGAAGAGCUGAUGAAAACAGUCACAGCUGAAUAGUGGAGAGAAAAAAGCUCUGUAUUUAUUGCUUUUGUUUGGCUUUUGGCUACAGAGACAGGAACAUUCUAAUGGGAUACUUGCUUUCAAGGAGCCAGACUGCAAAUCUGCAAACCUUUAAAGAGAGGGAGGACAAUUGACCCUACACUUCCACCAGUCUAGUUCCUUCCAUACCUUUAAAGACUCUGCCACCUUUACAAGACUCAUCUCACAUGGCUAACCAUUGCAAACAAAUUUAUGCAUUUUUCAUACUCACAGGUUACUGCAUCAUAUCUGGGUGAAAGAAAUACUUAGAAGAGUGUUCCUUCUUCAGAGUCUCAUUUCUUGGUCAGGCCACAUUACUGAGAACGUGUAAGAAUUAUCAUGGUCUAUGGAAAAGAUAUACAAGAAAAGCAUUGCUGUGCCCCUGGAGGUGAAACAUGUCAGGAGACAAGAGCCUGGACUACAAAUGCACAGUGUGUCUUGCAGCCUUCAAAGGACCAUGAGUGGCUGUCACUAAAAUUGCAGGGAGAGAGUCAUUUGUGGAGGUCUUUCUACAGCUUGAAUCCCAGCCUCUACAAAACAAGAUGUGAGAAGUAAGGCAGCAGCAUUUAGGAGCCUAAUGAAUGUGCAUACGCAAGUAUGAAGACACACUUGUAAGCUGGCACUGCUAUGGGGAGUUGUGAGGCUCCCACACACAGAAGUCAGAAGUGGACCCAUAUCAGCUGAAGAAAUGUUCUGGCGGGGAUUACAACUCUUGCUACUUUUCACUCUCACCAUAGCCAUUUCUCUGACUCCCUGACAAAAUAAUAAACAGCAAUCAAUCACAAAGAGAGAAGGCUUUGAUAAUUUUUUCAUAAUCACGACACCGUUCUCCACUAGAAGGAGGAAGCACUCCUCCUGGAUUUGUCACAUCUUUCCCAGGAGUAAUGUCCUUGUUCUAGACCUUUAUAGCUGGGGUAGGUUUUAACAUAACAAAAUUAAGUACAUGCAGACCUCAGCAUAUAUUUGGUCUAAGUAGCAGUUAUGUAUGGGGGAAAGUGAUUGCAAUCACAGUUUUGCACUUAGAUGCUUUAGGCCUAUACCCAUGUCUAGGUGCUUUGCAAAUUCUUGAUAUUGGAAGGAAAUUUGACACCGGUUGAAAUUACUGACAAUAUUUUAACCAACUUAAACUGGACUAUAACAGUACCCUUCGAAUGCACUGGAGUGGAAGGAGGAAGAGGCUUUCCAUAUUGCAGUGCUGUAUGCUAACUGGCACGACUGGUUUUUAUUCUGACUGUGAACUCUAAGCAGGACUGGAAUACAAAUAACAAUAACAAAGAAGAAGUUAAGUGAGGAUCAUCAAAUAAUUUAACGAUCGCAUCAAGCUUUUAGAUUUAUAAUGCUUUGUAUUGUCUCUGUAAUAUCAGGAUAGAUUAAUCUGGUAGGUACCUGCUAGUUUUACUGUAAGAACAGGGGAUUAUUUCUGAAAUUAUCAUGGUAUAGAAAUGCUUUAUAACCUCAGGAGAAGGUUUCAUUGAUAGUGAUUAGUAUUAUCAGUUAUCAACUCAAACUUCAGUUGGAGAAAUGACACAAAUCUCUUUCAAAUUACAUGGAAUUACAAGAAUAACUUGUUCUAAAAAAUGCACUGUGCUGAUUUUGGAUCUGCAGGGCAGGUAUCUUCUUCAUUUUUCACUAGUCAAUUCUUUGCUAACAGCUGAAGCAACACGGUACUCUCUUACCUACUUAGCUCAUGUUGUCAUUAUUUACCCCUCUUUUACAUCUAAACUACUAGAGGUGUUUGAGCUUAUAUAUUUUUAAAAGAACAAAACAGUCAGACUUGAGUUUGCCGAUGGAGACAGGAACAGAUAUGCUAAGCAUAGAGAAGUUUAACUUUUAAGGCAGACUUACACAUAUUCUAGGGCCCAAUAACUGUAAUAAAUGGUUUAGUGGAUAAACAGUGUUUGCUUCUUCUAUUUCCACUUACAUCUCCAGUAGAAUAUAAUCUAGCAAGCACGCUCUUUAAACACUUUCUACAUGGGAUAUCUUAAGAAACACAGACAGAAGACCACUCAGUCUGUUGGUUCUGCCAGGCAUAAAAUGUGGAACUGACAGGAGAGUUUUGACCGACAUUACUCUGAGCACUGGUGGGAGUAAGACAAUUAGACAGACCAGCAGAACUUCAAAGUGAAAACCUUGUUCUCUAGAAGACUUUCAAAGCUUGAAAGUGCAGUGAUGAUUCUGAAAGGUUAAGUCUUGGUGUGUCAAAUUCUAUUGCCUAUUUAGUACCUGUUUAUUAGUAUAAACCACAGGUUAGGAUGCUACAUUGGUCUUUAGAAUGCCAUGUUACAUACAGAAACUAGCAUAUAAUUCUCAGUCACAUAAUCUCAGGACUUUACAUGAUUUUUAGCCUAGUUAACUAGUUUCAAAAAUUUUCAUAUCUGUGUUUUUUCUUUGGACCUAAAUAAUGGACCAAGACCCAAACGAGACUUCUCAUCUUGAGUUUUGAUACUUUCUCUUCUAUGCCUACAAGACAGUUGUCAAUAAAGUGGUUUAGAUAUUUACUUUACCUCUGGUAUUUCUUCACCUCUGCUUUUGAGAAAAACAUGAAAUUCAGGUGAAUCUGUGAAAGUAUACUUUAUAAAGAAGGAAAGUAUACUUUAUAAGAAGGAAAGUAUAAAAAGGAAUGUCUAAAGUUCUAGGCUGAGCUCAUUUCAUUCAAAUCAUGCUUGGACCAUGAACUAGUAACAACGUAUGCUUCAUAUACAUGCUAUGAUGAUACAACUGACAUGACGUAAUAUGAUUUUCUAUGUCACAAACUUUUAACUAAUUCAGCUGCAUCAAUAGAUCUCUAUAAUAAAACAAAUAAUCAACAGCAUACACAAAUGUAAGAAUUAAGAGCCUUAAAUGAAUAUAGUCAUUAAUGAUUAAGGUAUAUGUAAAAUGAGAAUGGUAUUUGGGUAGGGUUUUUUUGUUGUUUCAGAUGCAGGAUGAAAACAUUCACCCCUUUGGGCAGAGGGACCAUGACCCACUGGCUGGAGACUGAUGGUAGGAAAAGACAGACAUGAGUAAUCUAAAACUAAUUUCAGAGUGAGAAACAGUAAUAACUUGCUGGGAAAACAACACUUUUCUCCCUUAAAACAAAAUGGUCUUUAAUGAUUCCCUCUGAUCAAGAAACCAAUGAUGCAUUUUGGUUUCCCCUUAGUUCCUCCACUUAUUGGGUAGAUACAUUUCUACUUGGUGUAUGUGGUUGUUCUUUAAUAUUUACAGUAACUGUGAUCUCAAAUUUUGAUUCUGGGUAGAACUCUCUUGGUUAAAUUACAGUGCCAUGUGUUUCCUAAAUUGCAUUUGUAGCUGUUAGCCUCAGCAUUUUGCCUCUCAACAGUUGUGGAACUCUGUAUUUUUAAGAUGUAAUAAACACCAUCCACACAUACCAAA